GAUGAACGCUGGCGGCGUGCCUAAUACAUGCAAGUCGAGCGAACGGACGAGAAGCUUGCUUCUCUGAUGUUAGCGGCGGACGGGUGAGUAACACGUGGAUAACCUACCUAUAAGACUGGGAUAACUUCGGGAAACCGGAGCUAAUACCGGAUAAUAUUUUGAACCGCAUGGUUCAAAAGUGAAAGACGGUCUUGCUGUCACUUAUAGAUGGAUCCGCGCUGCAUUAGCUAGUUGGUAAGGUAACGGCUUACCAAGGCAACGAUGCAUAGCCGACCUGAGAGGGUGAUCGGCCACACUGGAACUGAGACACGGUCCAGACCCCUACGGGAGGCAGCAGUAGGGAAUCUUCCGCAAUGGGCGAAAGCCUGACGGAGCAACGCCGCGUGAGUGAUGAAGGUCUUCGGAUCGUAAAACUCUGUUAUUAGGGAAGAACAAAUGUGUAAGUAACUGUGCACAUCUUGACGGUACCUAAUCAGAAAGCCACGGCUAACUACGUG
rnacentral:rRNA from 1 species